rnacentral:rRNA from 1 species
UACAGAGGUCUCAAGCGUUGUUCGGAUUCAUUGGGCGUAAAGGGUGUGUAGGUGGCGCGCUAAGUCGGGUGUGAAAUUUCGGAGCUUAACUCCGAAACUGCAUUCGAUACUGGCGUGCUUGAGGACUGGAGAGGAGACUGGAAUUCAUGGUGUAGCAGUGAAAUGCGUAGAUAUCGUAAGGAAGACCAGUGGCGAAGGCGGGUCUCUGGACAGUUCCUGACGCUGAGGCACGAAGGCCAGGGGGAGCAAACGGG